rnacentral:sRNA from 1 species
GCCAGGAGUGGAGGUGCAUGCCUGUAAUCCCAGCAUCUUGGGAUGCUGAGGCAGGAGGAUCAUGAGUUCAAAGCCAGCCUCCGCAAGUUAGCAAGGCCCUAAGUAACUCAGUGAGAUCCUGUCUCUA